UAGCAUGGUCUGGGUCAUGCUAGGGCUGUUCUCUAGGAAACCUGCAGAGAUCAGGCAGUAGCUUAGAUCACUCGGAAAGUAAGUGUGAAUAUAGGUAUUGCUCAGAAGGUCACUUUCUAGGAGUGGAAAGUUUAAGAUGGUCUGUCUACAUGCUCACAGUCUGUCCCAAAGCUGCCUCCUUUACAGCUGAAGAAUUUUAGUUUAGAAUUAAAAAAAGUGUAUGGUGGGAGGUGGGUUGAUGAGAAGGCAUGGAGCUUAUCAACCAAAUUAUAAUAUGCAGCUGCUGUGCUGGUGGGAGAGUGCUGUACACUAACACCGAUGAAAAUAUUUCUUAACAGCUCAGAUGUAUGAACAGCCAGAAUAUAUGUGUGGACAGCACAGCUUGACCUUCCUGUUAUUUCUUUGCUGAGGAAGCCAGAGGAAAACCGCUGAAUCUGCAGCCUCAGAAUAACAACUUUGCAGCUUGACAUUCCUAUAGUCUAGGACUAGCCAGGACCAGAGAAAAAGCAAAUAAGAGCUUCCAGCAGAGAUGAUGGACGUUUAUGCCUUUCUUCAAGAGAGCGGUGAAGCCAUCCUGCUGCACAGGCUUGACCAGGUGGGACAUUCGUGGCAGCAAGAGCCUGGGAAGCAAACAAAAUGUGCUUCACAUCACUCCAUUGAUUCAGUAUUCACAGCAUUCUGAGAUUCAGCGGUGAUGCUCUGAGAUGCUUCCAACACUUGAAAAAGAAAUAAAUGAGGCUUCGUAGAUGAUGAUGAAUUCCAAAGAACCAGAUGCUGCGGAGAUGGAGCUGAGCCUCCCGCUGAGUAACCAGUUCUUUCCACUUCAGCAUGAGAUCUGUUCUCGCCGUUAGGGAGACUUCUGCAGGGUGCUGAGCCAGCCAGUGGGCUUAGCGGCAGUGACAGGUGUGAGACUGACAGCACUGGAGGUGGAGAAGCUGCGUGCAGUCUGACGUCCUCUCACGUGGUGCAGAAUAAGAUGGGCCCUUGCUGCUCUAGAGACUGAAGAGCAGGUCGGGAUGAAAGGAGCGGCCUCAGACACGUGAGUCCAGCAGCCUCCUCUUCCACGAGCUUGGUGCAUUUGCACUGGCUCUUUGGGCAGUCAGGGGACAGGUGAUUUUGUUCUGAAUCCUUUUCUUGACAUCUUUUUCCUUCUUUCGAGUCUGUAUGAGGACUGGUGUGCAGUAUGGGGGAAAUGUGAGCUCUUGGGCUGAGCUGCAGAAUGCAUCCACGUGGGAGGGAAGCCACUUCUGGCCAGCUCCAAAGCUGUGCACAGUGGCCUUCUGUGCUUCCAGUUCAGGCAUUCAUUCCAACCUGAGCUGCAGAGAAGCUUGGAAAGGGGAUUUAUUGCCAAGCUUUACCAUUUCUGUGUACAGUGGCACACAUCGAGCUCUCUGUGGAUGUGCUGCCUUACGCAGCUCAGAGCAACAGGGCUGAUUUCUUGGCUCUGCAUAAAGCAGUGCCAUGAUCCUAAGUUAACCAGUUGUCCUGCUUAUAACGUAAGAGCUCAUGUAUGUGUGAUGCUGCUUUCCUUACCGCUACCCUCUCCAGCUUGCUCAGCGUUACAGAGUGCACGAUACAACGGCCAGAGAACAUGGGCAGCACCAGGACCCUGUGCUGAGUCCCACUCCAGCACAACGGGGAAUUUCCUGCUCCACGGAGCUUCAGUCUAAAGGGUGAAAGAGCGGGUGGUUGGCAGUAAUUGUCUGAAACGCUUACUGGAACAGGUGACUGUUAAUUUUCAUGGGCAAAUGUAUACAUUUAUUUUUCGUUUGUGUUGUAGCGUGCAUGUAAAUGUAGGAACAGCUAUACAUAUGUAUGUUACAUAUCAGGCAUAUACAGUCUGCAAUAUACACGAACACAAUGCAGCACUAAAUCAGGGGUUGGUUUUCGCUUCUCUUAAUUACCUAAUUAUAUUGAUUUUUACAUUCUGUACAUCUUGGUUUUAUCUGAACUUUACAGAAGGUGUAAGCAAUACACAUCUUGUCACAUCCCAUUUUCACAGUAGCGCUGUUGCUGUAUGAACCAUUGCUAGAAAUAAAACACGACUAGAAUAGUCAGCCAUCUGUCUGGAAAGCACAUGCAGUCCCAGAUGGCAGUUUCUCUCCCGCUCGCUGGUAGCAAAGUCCUCUGUCUAAGGAACACGGCAGAAAUGUGUAACAAUUCAGCGGGGAUGUGUACAACGUGCAGCCCUCCCCCAUGCUGGGACCGAGGGCCUCCAGCAAGGGAAGAGGAGGGAAACCUGGAGCGCUGCGUCCAUCCCUAAGGGGGGCAGGUGCUCAGCUCCCACGGAGCAGAGGGAUCAGCAUCAGAGCACGAACUCCACAGCAAACCCCUCUGCCACCGAUCGCUGUGUGAAUGAGGUUCCUCAGCCUGUCUCUGUGCACUGCACCUUUCUGUGAAAGGAGCGCAGGACCCUGGCAGGUGAUGUUAAAGCCCACAGGCUGUUCCCUCUGGUGUUGUGGGACUGUUCAGAGGAGAAACGAGGCUGUUUCUGCUGUAGAGCUGUGUGCUUGGUCUGGGGACAGGUUGGCCACCAAGAACCGACGCUUGCCAACCCCAGAGGCACCCAAGCUAUCUGCACAAUCCGUCGAGGAGCCCUGUCGCUGCAGUGGGCCUUUGCAGGAGCACCAGAUACCCACCUGAGCAGCUGCUGAAGCCUGCAGCCCCCAGAGCUGACGGUUCUGAGCUCUACCCAUUGCAUUCACGUGGUCAGAAGGAAAGACAAGAAACAGCAAGAAAAGGUCCUGCCGAGACUGUGCAAAGGUUCAGGCUGUUUUGGAAGCAGGAAGAAAACAACCACUCCUCUCUUCCUCUUGGAAGUAAUUUUGCCUUUUGGCCCAGCCUUUGCAGAAUGAAAUUUAGAAAGCCUUGCUGAGCUCGGGAGCUGGCGGGAGCCAUCGUCCAGCCAAUUCAUCAUCACAGGAGCCCGGUAUCUAAUGAGCAGGUUUUGUCCUACAUGUGUGAGGUGGUGAUGGGCGAAAGAUGACUAGAGGAGGACGCUUAGGAAGUACCGAGUAUGUUGAGUGGAGAAGCAUAGGGUGAUGCUCCCCCUGAGAAGACACCUGUGGGGCCCAGCGUGGUGCCAGGAGGACCUUACGACAGCAGGGACCAGCCCACCAGAGCAGUCUCUCCAGUGGGACUGGGACCAGUCACAGCCAGAGGAGGACGUGGGAAGGGCAGGAACCGAGGACCACGCUGCAUCCUUAGAGUGAGUAGGACCUGCCCGGACAUAAGCUCUGGGACAACCCCUUGGGGCUGACAGCUGCCCAUGGUGUCAAUCUUCUAGCUUUGCUGGGGCUCUUCCCGAGGCACCUCACCAGUUUGGGGUGAGGGUGCUGCUUUCCCUGGGCUGCUUCGUGUCUGUCCGGGCUCAAGCAGAAGGUCGUUAUCGCAGGGCCCCGCUCAGCAAAGCAGGGAAGCCCGUCCCUAUUUGUCACCGAGCGUCAGGGCCUUGGAGGUGAAUCAGAUGCACUGUAUUAAUAGAUCUAAUCAUCGCAAGCCUUGGUUGUGCCGUAUGUAGCAAUCUGUUUCCUGGCUGACAGCGUGCUCGCUGCUAGCAGGAGGGAGAGCCGGAGGAAGAAGUAUCGCCCAUCCGCAGCUCCGCGGGGCAGGACCUUGAAGGUGGCUGAACCGAGUUUCUUCUCGCCUGUUGGGUGGGUGAAAUCCCGGCCUCGUGGCCGUCCGUGGCAAAGCUGCCGACAGGAACAGGGCACAUCCAGGCAGGCUGCUGGGUUUUGGAAAGAAAACUCCCCCUGCUUUUAGGAUGGAGCUUUCUCUUUUUCGUGGGUAUCCUCGAGAAAGAGGUCUGCUUCUCGUUUUAGCCUGCUUGGCAGCCCCUCACUUUGCGUUUCUCUUUCUUGCUAGCGCUGGUAGCUGGUGCUGCUGCUGGCUGGUGUUUCAGAUCAGCCUUGGAUCAAUAGGGAGCACUUGCUAGCAUCAUAUUAAUUGAGCCUUCUGCUUAGAGCCCUUGCGCUAUUGAUUGUAACAGUAACUUCAGCUGGAAUUUGGGAAGCAGUUACUUGGAGUCUAAAAAAUGAGAAGAAAGCACAACACUGGGUGAUUGGAUUGACUUCAUUUCCAGCAGAUUACACUGUAAUAAUUGCGUGUGUCCAGUCUGCUUUCAUUACUUCUCCCUCUAAUAAAAGUACCAGGAAUGCUUUCAGAUUUCAAUGUGCAGGAUUAUAGGGCUUGCUUGGAGCAAGCACCAGAGUACACUGGGCAGGAGCAAUAUGAGAGACUUUAUCUUAAUAACUGGCAAGAAGAUACCCACUCACCCUGCUGUCUGCCCCAUUCACAUCCUUUUCUUCGCUUUCCUUCCUCUUUAAAGAAAAGAAAAAAAGAAACAAAAAUGCCAAUUACUGACUGAGAACAUGAAUUUUUCAUUGACCUCCUGUAAUUCCCCACAAAGCUGAGGAGCCUGGAAGGUAAUGAAAUGAGAUUUCUUCAAAGAACAAAUGAACGAGAGGAGAUGACUGUCUGAGCUGAAAGCCCGUGGCAAAUUUGCUUUACUUAACGCUAAGUGGGGAUCAUUUCUUGUGAUUACUGAAAAAUGCAUCAUAACUUUUGAUUACGCUGCUAUUAAGGAUGCAGAAUGGCAAUUGCUGCUGCUCGCAGAGAGGGAGAGAGAGGAAACACUGCUGGAAAAGCUGGUGUAACCCUUUGCUAUGCUGAGUGCUGUGGAGAAGAUGUCACCGCUGCACCCCCUGCUUUGCCAAAGGGAAUAUUUGCCUUCCACGGUAUCUGAAGAUCUGCAAGAUCUGAGUAGAGAGCCAGGAGAUGGAGUUUGUGAGAUACCGUGUGCACAGUCUGGUCAGCGCUGCUCCUGCAGGCAGCUGGGCUGUGGAUCAGCACCAAAGCCCCGACCUCAGGAUAGGUGCCAGCGAAGCCAGGCCACGGUGUUUGCAUGGCGCACGCAGAUGGUUGUCAGUGCUCGUUCAGUGGUUCCCCAGCCUCACCUGGCAUGGCCCUACAAGGGGAUGCUGCUGGACUCCAGGCUGCCACGUGUGACUGGCUCCCCACAGCCCAGCAGAGCAGCUCCUAGGAAUGGAUCAUGCCUAUUGCUCAUCUGCUGUGUGCUGCUGGGCAUGGUGCAGUCGGCUGGUCUGCAAGCCUGUCCAUGUGCCUUGCUGAGAGAGGUUUCUGCUGUCUCUGUGAGAAGACAACUUUGUCCAAGGAGCAACAGCAACCGCUGGAGUAUGGAAAAUCACAAAAGGAAAUGAGAGUCUUGCUGUAGAAGUGAGCUUACGAUGGAGAAAUGCAUGCCCCUGGCAGUCCUUGGACCUCUCAGUCACUCUACGAAAAUGUGCAGAAAUCCUACAAAAUGCUUGUUUUUCUGAAGAUUUUGAUCUAAAAGUCAUUUUUCCAUUGCAAUGAAAAAUCCCAACCAGCAAGCAUGUGUAAAUGAAUCUGAAACUCCAGCUGAGCUCUGAGUCAUGACUCUAAGUCCUAAGCCUUGUGGGCAAGAGCAGAGCGACUUACAAACGCUUGGAGAGCAAUUUAUAGAGAGGAGCACAACAGCAAUGAAACAGCUUUGGAGACUGCAAGGUGCUGAUGAAAUGCCUCUCCUGUACACCAUUCCCAUUGGGACCCCCUCUUGUAGCUACUGUAAGAGAGCAGAUCUAGUGUGAUUCCUGCUGAGCAGACCUUGAUAAAGCAAUGACACAGAUCUUCUGCAGAAAAGGAAGAGCCCUAGUGGAAAUUGAUGCAGAAGUGGCAGAUGCAGCUGGAACUGUCUGUGAAAAUCAGCCCAACCAUCUCUUCAAACACUUGGGACCAAGGGCGAUCUUCUAGGCUUCAUUAUUACACCAUUUCAGGAGCCUUCCUUUCCCCUGGGGCUGGCUCUGCUCGGAGCGCUCUCGGAAGCAGGAGAGGUAAGCAAUACAAACUCAAUUUGAGGUCUGGCGAAUCCAGACAAAUGCCUCUCAGAUCCCCUGUUCCUUGUGCUGUGGAUUAGCCCAUGUGAAAUGGUAAAUCCCUGUCCUAAAAUUCCUCAGGCAAACUGGGAUUCGUGGCAGUUGUUGACUGACUGCAAACAGAUCACAUGAUAACUCUCCAUAUUAUUGACAUAACUCUAAAAAUACGCUGCAAAAGUGUAAAUAAUAAAUGUGUAGUAUCUGCA